GUCUACUGCCAUACCACCCUGAACGCGCCCGAUCUCGUCUGAUCUCGGAAGCUAAGCAGGGUCGGGCCUGGUUAGUACUUGGAUGGGAGAAAUACAAAAAAGAAAUACAAA
rnacentral:rRNA from 1 species